AUCAGUGGCCUGACUGUUCUGACACAUUGAGUUCUUAGUUGAGGGACUCUUUAGAAGGUAGUGGUCAGUAGAAAUUUAACUAUUGGCAAAUUCUUGUUUUCUUAAGGGAAGGGAAUGAAAUGAGGAGGUAGAUAGGGAUCAGUUUUGCGGUUUGGCCUUAAAUUGUUUCCUACACCCAUCAGUCAGUGAGAACCUAAGAAAUACAAACAUAUUUCAAUGUUGUCAAAUUUUGAGGUAUUGGUAAGGUACUUUGGCUAAAGAGAAAAACCACUCUUAAUUCCCAAAUCAAGUAGAACUUAUUUGUUGUUGUUGUUCUUCACAUUAUGAAUCAUAUGCUUUGCAACCCCUACCUGGGACCCAGCUGUUGACUAUAAACUGAAAGAAGUUGGCUAGGGCAGGUUUUGGGUCCUAUGGCCUGUGGUGGUGAAUGCUGGCCUCAAGGUACAUGAUUGGUGCCUAGGUACAAGGCUAGUUACCCAUCUUUCCAGCAGCUGUAACACUGUCCUCCCCACUGUUUUACCCAAAUCUCAGCAGCCAAGAGGAAGGAGGUACCUUCCAACCUACUUGAGUACCCCUACAAGCUGGAGGGAACAGGCUGCCCGGGACUGGCAACAAGGGGGCCCUCUUGCAAGGGAGGCUGAAGCCAAUAGCUUGUACCUACUUGUCAAGUGUUUAGGGGUGUGGAUAGGAAGCACAGUAUGGUUCAUUAUGUGGGAUUAUAAAAGCUACAUUCUUUCCGGUCCCAGUUAAUCCCCAUUUCCCAAGCUUAUUUUCCUGCUACCCCUCACUAGUCCUAGCACCUGGGGAUCAAGGCACAGACAAGAUUUUGCUGCACCUCAUCCUUUGAUGUUGACAUUACCAGGCUCCCUCUCCUAAUCCAUUUAGAGCCCUGGGAGGUUGUUGUUGAGGAGUGUGGAAGAAAGAGCUGGAAGGGAGUCUGAGGAAGAAUUUCCAUAUUCUUCUUGUUUUGAAUUGUUGUAGAGCAGGUGGUAAGAGUUAUGAGAAGAUAGAGAACUUUCCAGCCUUCUCUGGUCAUUGUAAUUCCAAAUCCCUUUGACCAUUUCUUGGCUCUUGGGAAGUGUUCCUGCUUGUUUCUGUCUUGCACCAUCACUCUGCCCCACAGCCAUGGGACUGACUUGGCUUCAGCAUAAAGCUGGGGAGGGCAGGAGAGUUGUUCUUUGAGAGAGGUGUUAUUUCCUGAGGUUGGGAAGUGGUAUAUUCUGCCAGUCACAUCUCGGCUUGGAUGCCUGAGGCUGUCUACCUCCUUGCUUAGCAAGGCUCACCUCAUCUAGUUGGACAUAUGCACCUGACACAUGGGACUUAGGCAAGGGGGAGAGUUGUAAUACCACCUGAGUAAUCCUCAGCCAGACAUUGCCAUUCUUAGACAUCUGCCCAUGAGGCUUCUAUUACUAAUCUGCCUGCCAAAGGAAGUACUUUUCUCUAAAAUUGUACAGAAGUUAUGUAAGGUGCAGCAAGAGCAGCAUCUGGGCGGGUGCUUGGCACUUUAUCCAUCUUUCUCGAAUCUCCAGUUGCUGGUCCAGACUCUGUCUCCUUUAGUAACUUGGAAGUUCUAUUAAAGGAUGGUUUAUUCAUACUAAUUCUCUUUAAGCCCAUCACUGAAGUUUUACUCCCAUUAUGGUAAGCCUAGCAAAGUAGAGCCAUCCUCGCAAAAUAGGACUGUCUUCUGAAAAGCCUUGACAUCAUCUAAGCCCACUACCCUCAUUAUUCCAGAGGGAAACUGAAGCUUAGAGAAAUAGAAUGACUGAUCCAGACAAAGAGAUAUAAGGCUAGUUGUUUCUUGCCUUGACCCCCAAAUUUGGCACUCUUUUUUACUUUGAGAAGCAGUGGUAGAGAUGGGGGUAGAGAAUGAGAGUGAUUUUCAGGUCCAGACUUGCUACAGAAUUCAAUCAAGGGAUAGUGUUUCUACUUACUCUAGCCUUAGACCUAAAUUAAGAAAUCAGUAUAAGAAGAAUCGGCCAACUAGACUUCAAGGGACCAUCUGUGUCUGCUGACCCCUUAGUCUUCAUGCAUCUCACAUCUAGAAUUGCUUGCAUCUUUCCACCUCUCUCUCUCUCUCUCUCUCUCUCUCUCUCUCUCUCUCUCUCUCUCUCUCUCUCUCUCUUUCUCACGCACACACAUGCAUGUGUAAACAGACACACAUAGACACACAUGGGGCGAGUUUUCUGGGCCUUGUAGGAGCCCCAGCAGACCAGUCUCUGUCUAGGUAGCAGGUUCAAGGGCAAGGUUGUAGACAUAGCUGCCCACUUCAUGUCCCAACUUGCAAGUUGUCUGUCUUCUUCCCUUGAGGUUGCUGUUCCUUUGGCUGCUUCUAUGAACUCACGAUACCCUCAUUUUUUCCCCUCUGAGAAGCUCGCCCUUCCCUUCCACCCACACUCCUCUGAGGUACUUUAUAUCCAUACCUGGCUCCUAGUAGCCUCCCACUUGUCAAGCCACUCAUCCCCACCCUCUCCAGAGAGAAAGCCAUGAAGAAUUUAUGGAAUGUCCCCAGGAAAUUCUAGCAUGGUCCAGGCCCCAUAGCUCUUUCAACACAGGAAGGAAAAUAAAGAAAAAAUAGCUAAGAGUCAGGCAAGGGAAGGGAAUCUGGGUGCGUCAGAGCUACUCACUUCUUCCCUGCCUGGCUAGGCGUCUCUCAGACGGUCCAGCUCUCAUCUACAGAGGCUGGUAGGAACAGGAUGUCCCUGAGUGGGGAAGUGAACACACCAAAAGUGGCAUAGCCACAAUGUGAUCUUAGGUGCUCAGACACUCAGGGAACCCAAAGGCCAGGCCCUUGUCUUCUGAGGUCCCUGAAAGAACGGGGAGGAUGGGACUGAGAUCUUAAAGCCAAGAUGCAGCACUUGUAGGACUAAGAGCUGUGCUUUUCAGGAUGUGGAAAGAUAGGCAAAACUUCAGCAAGGGUGCAACAGCUCAAGCAAUGGAUGUGGGAUCAGUCUGCAAGGUCUCAUAAAGGCAGAAGAAUACCAGGUUGUGGUUUUAAAAGGUGAAUUAGAGCUAAUAUGGCUCUGAACCCAAAGAGGAAUGCAAGCAAAGGACUCAGGAUUAGAGCCCAGCCAAUUGUACAUGCUUCAGCAAAACCAAUUAGUCAUCACCAUAGAAGCAGAAGAACAGCUUCUAGAUCUUGAGCAGCAUUGACUCCACUUUAUGAGGAAGAUAAUAUCAUAACAGAGUGUUAAGAAACCACGUAUGAGAUAAACAAGGGGUGGCAAGGAUGUGGGAAUCACGCUAGGUUAAACAGAGUUCUACAAUGCUGAAACCCCAAGGAAAAAGAUCAAAUAAAGUAGAUAAAGACAGCUCUCCAGAUAAUGCAAUGUACUGAGCACCUUUUAUGUUCUAGGUGCUAUGCUAAGUCUUUUGUAUCUGCUAGCUCAUUGAACUCUGAUGCAGCCAUUCUGAGGCGGGUGCUCUUACCAACUUCACAAUGCAGAUGGGACAUAAAGGCAAAGUAAGAAUCUCUCCCAUGAUGCCAUUGCCAUGGAAGAUUAUGACUCCUUCAAUGGAACAAGUAUAUGGUGGCUUUAGUGAGGAUGGCCUCCAUAGGAUUAUACACUUGAAUGCUUGGUCACUAGUUUGUAGACUGUUUAAGAAGGACUAGGAAGUGUGACCUUGUUGGAGGUGUAUCACUGGGGGUUGGAUGGGCUUUGAGAUUUUGAAAACCUGUGCUAGGCCCAGCCUGUCUUGGUCUCUCCUUCUCCUCCUCCUCCUCCUCUUCCUCUCUCUCUCUCUCUCUCUCUCUCUCUCUCUCUCUCUCUCUCCCUCCAUCUUGUGGAUAAGAUGUAAGCUUUCAGCUCCUGUCCCAUCAUUCUGCUGUUUGUCUGGGGCCAUAUUUCCUGACAUGAUCAUGGACUAACCCUCUAAAACUUUAAGCAAGUCACCAAUUAAAUGCUUUCUUUUAUAA